CUCCCAAAAAGGAAAGCAACCGGCUGGUGUCUGUUUCUUUCCGUCGCGUCCCCCCUGUUAAAAUCCCUUCCAUCUCCCGUGACCGUACAGCCAAUUUUCUCUCUCUUCGAUCUCCGUAACACACCUUUUUCUCUCUCUAAACUAUCUGCAUCUGCUUCUGCAAUCUAGGGUUUAUGUCCUCACCAAUGUCUUUCCUUUCAAAACCCUAAUUUUUUUUUCAAUCCAUAAAUUAUUAUUUUACUGGUAUAUAUAGAAUUGCAAGAUGGAGGGAGUAAUCAGCAAUGGAGGAGGUGGUGGAGGUAGUGGGGAUGCGUCAACUAGCGGCUCUGGCAGUGGUGGAGCACAACCGCCUGCUGCACCGGUGCCAAUUUCGACGCAGUCAAAUGCACCGCCGCCUUUUCUAAGCAAGACUUACGACAUGGUGGACGACCCCGCGACGGACGGGAUCGUGUCGUGGAGUUCGACGAACAAUAGCUUCGUAGUUUGGAACCCGCCAGAAUUCGCGCGCGACCUCCUUCCUAAGUACUUCAAGCACAACAACUUCUCCAGCUUCGUUAGGCAGCUCAAUACCUACGGUUUUCGGAAGGUUGAUCCAGACCGCUGGGAAUUUGCUAAUGAGGGAUUCUUGAGGGGUCAGAAACACCUACUUAAGAGUAUUAGUCGUCGAAAACCAGCUCAUGGGCAUGCUCAUCAACAGACACCACAACCUCACGGACAAAGCUCUUCUGUUGGUGCCUGUGUUGAGGUUGGGAAAUUUGGGCUUGAGGAAGAGGUUGAGAGGCUUAAGAGGGACAAGAAUGUGCUUAUGCAAGAACUUGUUAGGUUGAGGCAGCAGCAACAGGCUACUGAUGGCCAAUUGCAAACCAUGGUCCAGCGACUUCAAGGGAUGGAGCAGCGGCAGCAACAGAUGAUGUCUUUCCUGGCAAAGGCUAUGCAGAGCCCUGGCUUCCUCUCUCAGUUUGUACAGCAGCAAAAUGAAAGCAAUAGGCGCAUAACAGAAGCUAACAAAAAACGGAGGAUCAAACAAGAUGGUAUUUCUGAGAAUGAGAAUCCUAGUGUUCCUGAUGGCCAGAUUGUGAAGUACCAACCCAUGAUGAAUGAGGCAGCACAAGCCAUGCUGAGACAAAUCAUGAAAACGGACCCUUCUUCCGGGGUGGAAUCUUAUAACAGUGGUCUUGAAGAUUUCCUGAUGGGCAGUGGCUCACCAUCAUCCAGUGGAAUGGAGAGUGGGAGCUCGUCAACCCGUAUAUCUGGAGUGACUCUUCAAGAGGUCCCACCAACUACAGGGCAUUCAACCUAUGUACCAGCAGUUUCAGGGCUAUCAGGACAUGACCCUGCAGCUUCCAUACCAGAAAUUAAACCUGCUCCAUGCAUUCCUAGUUCUGGAAAUAUAACAGCUCAAUAUCCAGAUAUAAGUGCACUGGUUGGAUCGCAAGAGGCACCCUCCAUUUCUAUUCCUCAAUCAGAUGUAGUGAUGCCAACACUUGAUCACAUACCAGAAAUAGUGCCAGAAAGUAUUGUUGAUAUUCCUGGCGAAGGUUAUAUGGUGCCUGAGACUGGCAAUGAUGGAUUUAUGGAUCUGACUUCAAUAGGAAUUGGAAAUGUUUCCCCAGAUCCUGAUAUUGAUAUAUUGCUCGAAAAUUCUAGCUUCUGGGAUGAACUUGUGCAAAGCCCUGUACCUGAGGAUAUCGAAUCAACCUCCAUGGAUGGUCAAACGAAAGGAAAUGAUGUGCAGCCGGUGGAGAAUGGUUGGGACAAAACUCAGCACAUGGAUCAGCUUACAGAGCAGAUGGGACUUCUCACGUCAGAUGCUAAAAAGCUUUGAUUUUGUUUAAAGAAUGUACAUUUCUUGCACUCUGCCCUAGGUAAACACCUUGUUGAUAAACAACUAAUUGAUAGAAGAAUGAGUGGCUGCAGCUGAAGAAAACCCAAAUCUUAUGGAUUGACGAAUGUCUGACGCCAUCACAUGCUUGAACACCUUUCUGCAGAAUGUUGUUGCAAUGCUUUUAUGUUUUUGCAGUCAAAUCUGGUUUUCCUGACCAUUGCAUUUGCAAUUCUGGUUGUAUGUGUUUGUAAAAGAAGUUGUAGCUAGGAUUAUAAGGUUUAAAUGAACCAAAAGCAGAAGUUGCAGUGGUUUUGUUGACCACUAUAUUUUCAA